rnacentral:tRNA from 1 species
GUUUUUAUAGUUUAAAUUAAAACAUUGGUCUUGUAAACCAAAAUUAGAAUAAUCUUUUAAACU